GCCCGGUAUGCUUAACACAUGCAAGUCGUACGCGAAAGUUCCCUUCGGGGAAUGAGUAAAGUGGCGCACGGGUGAGUAACACGUGGAUAAUCUACCUGAUAACCUGGGAUAACAUUUCGAAAGAAAUGCUAAUACCGGAUAAGCCCACAAUGUCUUCGGACGAUGCGGGAAAAGGUGGGGACCUUCGGGCCUACUAUUAUCAGAUGAGUCCGCGUCCCAUUAGCUAGUUGGUAGGGUAAUGGCCUACCAAGGCUACGAUGGGUAGCCGGCCUGAGAGGGUGUGCGGCCACAUUGGGACUGAGAUACGGCCCAGACUCCUACGGGAGGCAGCAGUUAAGAAUCUUGCGCAAUGGGCGAAAGCCUGACGCAGCGACGCCGCGUGGACGAUGAAGGCCUUCGGGUUGUAAAGUCCAAUAAGCAGGGAAGAAUAAGCAAAAAGUAAUAUUUUUUGUGAUGACGGUACCUGCCUAAAGCCCCGGCUAACUACGUGCCAGCAGCCGCGGUAAUACGUAUGGGGCGAGCGUUGUUCGGAAUUAUUGGGCGUAAAGGGCGUCUAGGCGGGGAAUUAAGUUAGUUGUGAAAUCCAUGGGCUCAACCCAUGAACUGCAUCUAAAACUGAUUCUCUUGAGUUCGGGAGAAGAAAGCGGAAUUCCCGGUGUAAC
rnacentral:rRNA from 1 species